GCAUCCUGGAGGACAGCUCAGAACCAGGUUUCAGGAAGCAGCAGAGAUGGCUGAUUGGAGAACCUUUGUAGAUGUCAUGAAUGUGGCAACCUGGGAAAUCAAAGCUGACACCCACAAAGGCCCUCAAGAUGUAAAAGACAUUUCUGUUCAUCUGGAUUGAAACUUUGUGAAGCCCAGCCUGCAAGACAUUGUGACUUGGCUGAAGAAGUCAUGGGAUAAAAACAUCGACAGCUGUGUUACCAAAGCACUACAAGCAGGCUACAUGGCCAAGAAAUGUUCAUUUAAGGACAGCAUUGCCGGAC
rnacentral:lncRNA from 1 species